GUAACGGUUUGGAACUUACUGGUCACUUGAAAUGUGGCCUGUGAUCUCAUUAUUUUAAAUGGAUGGAACUUGAGAAUCUCAUCCUGAGUGAGAUAACCCAGAGCCAGAAGGACACGCAUGGGGUGUGAUUUUGCCAGCUGAAGGCAGUUUACAUUCGGAGUUCCGCGGACUCUUCAGAGGCUGUAAAAAUGCCGGAGUCACGAAAGCCUGCAAAGAGCUGUUGCUUGCCUUGCUGCUGCUGCUGCUACUGCCGUCCCUGCCCGUGCUGCAGCUGCUACUCCUGCUGCUGCUGCUGCUGCUUGUUGCUGAUUGUUGCGGUUGCUGGUUGCUGUUUACUGUUUGCUGCCGGCUGGAUUGCUGGAUUGCUGAUUGCCAGUCGGCGAAAUCCUGGCGAUGAAGAUCCAACUUGCCCCAAGAAACAAGACGACCCUAAGAAGUAGUCUAAUGAUUUCAAUACGCCCUUUCCCCCUCUGACCUUUCUCUCUUACCUUAUGCUGGGGGAUUGGAAGGGUGGCAGAAAAAAGAACCCAAUAAAGUAGCCAAAAGUAAAAAAAAAAAAAAAAAAAAAAAAAAAAAAAAAAAAAAAA
rnacentral:lncRNA from 1 species